UACGUAGGGUGCGAGCGUUGUCCGGAAUUAUUGGGCGUAAAGGGCUCGUAGGCGGUUUGUCGCGUCGGGAGUGAAAUCCACUGGCUUAACUGGUGGCUUGCUUUCGAUACGGGCAGACUGGAGGUAUGCAGGGGAGAACGGAAUUCCUGGUGUAGCGUGAAAUGCGCAGAUAUCAGGAGGAACACCGGUGGCGAAGGCGGGUCUCUGGGCAGUAACUGACGCUGAGGAGCGAAAGCGUGGGGAGCGAACAGG
rnacentral:rRNA from 1 species